UUCUCCAGAAAUACCUGGGAACCUCAAUAAACUGCCGGUUAUGAUUCAGUAGGUUUGAGUGGGCAGGAAGUCUGCAUUUCUAGGCAGCUGCCAGCCACACUGCUGUGGUCUCAGGACCACCCUGGCAGGAACAGGGCUAGAGAGAACACCUCUCUCAUUUUGCAGGCAAGGAAACAGGUUCUGAGGCGGUAAGCCGUCAAUCCAAGGUGACCCAGCUUGGUGAGCACCAGAGCGGAGAGAUAUGUCCUGCCUGAGGGGGGGUCUCUCUGGAUCGUGACUCCAUCAGGCGCCCAUAUUCUGCCUCCAGCAAGGAUGGCAGAUUGAGUGUGAGGUGACAGGAGUGAGCACCCGCUGUUCUGUGUUGAAUAUUCCCCUUACUGCUCCGUCUUUGCUUUCUCCCCUGUCCCACAGCCCAAUACCAGUUACUGCUGCCUCCUCCUGCCACUACUGCCACCCGCCUCCCCAGCGGCGGGCCAGGACACCCCACCACACCUCCCUCCA